rnacentral:rRNA from 1 species
UACGAAGGGGGCUAGCGUUGCUCGGAAUCACUGGGCGUAAAGGGUGCGUAGGCGGGUCUUUAAGUCAGGGGUGAAAUCCUGGAGCUCAACUCCAGAACUGCCUUUGAUACUGAAGAUCUUGAGUUCGGGAGAGGUGAGUGGAACUGCGGGUGUAGAGGUGAAAUUCGUAGAUAUUCGCAAGAACACCAGUGGCGAAGGCGGCUCACUGGCCCGAUACUGACGCUGAGGCACGAAAGCGUGGGGAGCAAACAAG